CAGCAUGCAAUUUAAAACGGAUUUAUUUGUGGCUUUUCAGUAGCAACAGGUGCAGCAGCGAGACUAGUGUCAGGAUACGACAGCUAUGGAAAUAUCUGUGGGCAGAAAAAUGCAGAGUUGGAAUCAAUACCAAACAGUGGCAUGGACCACACCCAUCGGAAGUAUGUGUUCUUUUUGGAUCCGUGCAAUCUGGACUUGAUCAACCGGAAGAUCAAGUCUGAAGCACUGUGCGUAGCAGCAUGUCCAAGACAAGAGCUGAAAACCCUGAGUGAUGUUCAGAAGUUUGCAGAGAUGAAUGGCUCAGCACUAUGUCACUACAAGCUAAAGCCUUCUGAAUACACAUCUUCAAAAGCGUCUUCUCUUUGCCCCAAACUACCAGUUCCAGCGAGUGCACCUAUUCCAUUCUUCCAUCGCUGUGCUCCUGUGAACAUUUCCUGCUAUGCCAAGUUUGCAGAGGCCCUGAUCACCUUUGUCAGUGACAAUAGUGUCUUACACAGGCUGAUUAGUGGAGUAAUGGCCAGCAAAGAAAUUAUAUUGGGACUUUGCUUGUUAUCACUAGUUCUGUCCAUGAUUUUGAUGGUGAUAAUCAGGUAUAUAUCAAGAGUACUUGUGUGGAUCGUGACAAUUCUGGUCAUACUGGGGUCACUUGGUGGCACAGGUGUACUAUGGUGGCUAUAUGCAAAACAAAGAAAGUCUCCCAAAGAAACAGUUAUUCCUGAGCAGCUCCAGAUAGCUGAAGACAAUCUUCGGGCCCUCCUCAUCUAUGCCAUUUCAGCUACAGUGUUCACGGUUAUCUUGUUCCUGAUCAUGUUGUUUAUGCGCAAACGCAUUGCUCUCACUAUCGCCUUGUUCCACGUGGCGGGCAAGGUCUUCAUUCACUUGCCACUGCUAGUCUUCCAACCCUUUUGGACUUUCUUUGCCCUUGUCCUGUUUUGGGCGUACUGGAUCAUGACACUUCUUUUUCUUGGCACUACUGGCAGCGCUGUGAAGAACGACCAAGGCUUUGUGGAGUUCAGGGUCUCGGGGCCUCUGCAGUACAUGUGGUGGUACCAUGUGGUGGGCCUGAUUUGGAUCAGUGAAUUCAUUCUGGCCUGUCAGCAGAUGACUGUGGCAGGAGCGGUGGUGACAUACUAUUUUACCAGGGAUAAAAGGAAUUUGCCAUUUACACCUAUUUUGGCAUCAGUGAAUCGCCUUGUCCGUUAUCACCUUGGUACUGUGGCCAAAGGAUCUUUCAUCAUCACAUUAGUCAAGAUUCCACGAAUGAUCCUUAUGUACAUUCACAGUCAGCUGAAAGGAAAGGAAAAUGCCUGUGCUCGAUGUAUGUUGAAAUCUUGCAUUUGUUGCCUUUGGUGUCUUGAAAAGUGCCUCAAUUAUUUAAAUCAGAAUGCAUACACAGCCACAGCUAUCAACAGCACCAACUUCUGCACCUCUGCGAAGGACGCCUUUGUCAUUCUCGUGGAGAAUGCUUUGCGAGUGGCUGCCAUCAACACAGUGGGGGAUUUCAUGUUAUUCCUCGGCAAGGUGCUGAUAGUCUGCAGCACGGGCUUGGCUGGGAUUAUGCUGCUCAACUACCAGCAAGAUUACACAGUAUGGGUGCUGCCUCUGAUCAUCGUCUGCCUCUUUGCUUUCCUAGUCGCUCAUUGCUUCCUGUCCAUUUAUGAAAUGGUAGUGGAUGUAUUAUUCUUGUGUUUUGCCAUUGAUACAAAAUACAAUGAUGGGAGCCCUGGCAGAGAAUUCUAUAUGGAUAAAGUACUGAUGGAGUUUGUGGAAAACAGUAGGAAAGCAAUGAAGGAAGCUGGGAAGGGAGGCGCUGCUGAUGCCAGAGAGCUGAAACCGAUGUCUCUGAUGAUCAGCCCCCUGAUUUUUAAAUGGACAUCCACUCAUCCUGAACAAAGACUACAUUUCUCAGCCCCCUUGCAGUGGGAUGUGAGUGGAAAUGACAUGUAACUACCAGAAUGUGUCUUUAAAGGGAAGAGCCAUUGUCCCUUUCUUCUUCCUUGCUGGCUGGAAUUCAGAUGUGAUGGGUAGAGGACCAGUAGCCAUCCUGGACAACAAGGUGACCUUGAGAUUUGAAGACAUGCAUGAUGGAGCAACAAUAUAGAAGCUGAACAUAAUCCUAACUGCUACCAAAGAUAUAUUUUCAGGUGACUUGGAGCUAAAAAAGCUAGCCGUCCAUAGUUCAUUGGGUAACAGUGAAAGCUUGGAAGCAAUGGACUAAAUCCGACAGCAUGGAGUUUAAGCUGAAGAAAAGGUGACUGGUCCCAUGAGCCGGGAAGAAUGAACUCAGAGGAGGCUGUUUAUACAAGGUUCUCCCACUCACCAGCUGUUGGGAGUAUGUGGAUGAAGGGCAGGAUCUUAUUACUUCAGUGGAAGCAAUGGAAGCCGGCGACCAUGUUCCCAAGCCACAAACAGCCAAGUGGAUUUGGCACAGUGGGGCUGCCUCAUAAAUAAUUAAUCAGAA